rnacentral:lncRNA from 1 species
ACUGAUUAAAAUGUACUAACAUGAAAGGGUAUAUAAGCAUGUCUUCCAUUGACAGGCCCCACGGUGAAGCCGGUGUAUCCUGCCAUGGCACCAUGUAUGGCGCUGUGUGCCAGCAAAGUGCAGUAGAUAUUGUCGGAUGCAUUUCUUGGAAUUGCACGGAUCAUGUACGUAGGAUAUGCGACAAAGCAUGAGAAAUUAUACAACCAGCAGAACCCGAACCCACCCAGGGAAGGGAAAGACUUCGACAAGUCUGCAACAGACCUAUGUAUUUAAGAUUUAUGUGCAUUUUCUUGUUUCUUGUAAAGUGGUCCUGCAGUAGUAGUAGUAGUAGUAGUAGUAGUAGUAGUAGUACUUGGAAAAGAUGGAGUGAGUAGAGCUGUCUGUAUCAAUUACAUGCCAUACAUCAACUGUUUAGUGCUGCUAUAAAUGAUAUAUCAAGUCAGAAUAAGAAAAAGACUCACCGUUAUCUUCUGUGACAGCCACAGGCCAACAUCGAGGAGUAGCUUAUUACCGGAAGCAUCUUGAUGGUCGACGGAUCGCAUGCUUUCGACAGUCGGAUCUUGGCCUGCGCCCUCAGCAACAACAAUGACCAUGUGACCGUUCUCUU